rnacentral:lncRNA from 1 species
UUUGUCUUAUUCAUCAAUAUUAAUUUUGUAUCUUUCAAGUCUAAGGUAAUCAUGUCAAACUUAUAGUAUUUCCAUAUUAAAGUGUAUUCCUCUAUCUUAUAUGUAUACAAUUUGUAUUUCAAGUAUAUAUGAUUUGUUAAAAAUUUUAUCAUAAAUUUUUUAUCUAACUUUGACUACACGUUAUCAGUCGUUGCUUCUUAAUUUACCAAGAUUACAAUGUCCCUCUCAAAAAAUAAGAUUAUGGCAAAUUAUG